CCUACGGGGGGCAGCAGUAGGGAAUCUUCCACAAUGGGCGAAAGCCUGAUGGAGCAACGCCGCGUGGGUGAAGAAGGUCUUCGGAUCGUAAAACCCUGUUGUUAGAGAAGAAAGUGCGUGCGAGUAACUGUUCACGUUUCGACGGUAUCUAUCCAGAAAGCCACGGCUAACUGCGUGCCAGCAGCCGCGGUAAUACGUAGGUGGCAAGCGUUAUCCGGAUUUAUUGGGCGUAAAGGGAACGCAGGCGGUCUUUUAAGUCUGAUGUGAAAGCCUUCGGCUUAACCGGAAUAGUGCAUUGGAAACUGGGAGACUUGAGUGCAGGAGAGGAGAGUGGAACUCGAUGUGUAGCGGUGAAAUGCGUAGAUAUAUGGAAGAACACCGGUGGCGAAAGCAGUUCACUGGACUGUAACUGACACUGAGGUUCGAAAGCGUGGGUAGCAAACAGGAUUAGAUACCCGAGUAGUC
rnacentral:rRNA from 1 species